rnacentral:rRNA from 1 species
UCCGUAGGGUGCGAUCGUUAAUCGGAAUUACUGGGCGUAAAGCGUGCGCAGGCGGUCCGUUAAGACAGUCGUGAAAGCCCCGGGCUUAACCUGGGAAUGGCGAUUGUGACUGGCGGGCUAGAGUGUGGCAGAGGGGGGUGGAAUUCCACGUGUAGCAGUGAAAUGCGUAGAGAUGUGGAGGAACACCGAUGGCGAAGGCAGCCCCCUGGGCUGACACUGACGCUCAUGCACGAAAGCGUGGGGAGCAAACAGG